rnacentral:rRNA from 1 species
CCUACGGGGGGCUGCAGUGGGGAAUAUUGCACAAUGGGGGAAACCCUGAUGCAGCAACGCCGCGUGAGCGAUGAAGGCCUUCGGGUCGUAAAGCUCUGUCCUAAGGGAAGAAUACUGACGGUACCUUAGGAGGAAGCCCCGGCUAACUACGUGCCAGCAGCCGCGGUAAUACGUAGGGGGCUAGCGUUAUCCGGAAUUACUGGGCGUAAAGGGUGCGUAGGCGGCCCUUCAAGUCAGAGGUGAAAGGCUACGGCUCAACCGUAGUAAGCCUUUGAAACUGUAGGGCUGGAGUGGAGGAGAGGAGAGGGGGAUUGGCGGUGUAGUGGUGAAAUGCGUAGAUAUUGGGGGGGACGGCAGUUGGGGAGGGGGCUCUCUGGACUGUAACUGACGCUGAGGCACGAAAGCGUGGGGAGCGAACAGGAUUAGAUACCCCAGUAGUC